CAGACUGACUUGCAGAGCAAAUCUCAAAUUUGCCGGAAGUUCGUCAGGGUUUACCCAGGCUAAUAGAUCAUUAUUUGCUUUUCAUUUUAGCUAUCUAACUUGUGGUCCUGUGUUUAAUUCCCAAAAGACUACAGAGCCAACUGCAAUCUGGACACAGGUGCUCAGAGGGCUUCCUAUCAUCCUUGGGGACAACCCCACAAACUUCUUCAAAGCAGGCUUUGAAUCUGAUGAUGGUGAUUCUUUUCAUGACCUUGACAUUGGGAUACUUCUUAUUGAGCGUAAAGGUGCUGUGCUCACAUCUCAGUCCAGCCUCAUUGAAAAUCAACACUGAGGGAGAGGUCGUGAUGGACAACAUUCAAGAUCUGCCAAAAGCAAUGUGCAUUCUGUUUGGACUCAUGUUUGCACUCAAUCUUAACUACCCCAAGACUAUGAAGCUCACAUUUCAGUUCAUCCAACAGGUAUUGCUCUUGUUAGGCCACACUGACCUAAAGCCAAAGCUACAGACUUUGAAAAAUCAGCUCGCAAGAGAUGUCAAGUCUACUGUAAGAAUGUCACGACUCCUCUAGUGGGAAGUGGCGAGAAGGGCUUCCCUGGAGUCUUCUCUCUGUCUCUCUUUUCCUCUCCCUCUCCUCUGCUCGAUCUUUUUCUCCUCUCUCAUAGUGCAGUGGGUGUGACUGGCUGCUCACGGGAUUACUCGCAGCUGCGGGCACUCACUAAUCAACCACCUGUUUUCCGUGGCUCAUCAGCGCAUCUUAUUAAGCCGUGGCUGCUCUCUGUUCGGGCGCCGGAUAGUUAAGUCUAGUAGAAGGAGAACCACUCUGUUCUACCGUCUCUCAACCUGCCUGCUGACACCACUCUCCACCUGCCGUCACCAGUCCUGCGGGCUUCGUCUCCCUGCCUGGGUCCACAACCUGCUCUGUCGCCUGAGAGGAUUUUCCCACCAGUCCAUCCUGCUACCUUGUCUGAUUCAUUAAUAAACUGUGUAAAAC